GACGAACGCUGGCGGCGUGCUUAACACAUGCAAGUCGAACGGUAAGGCCCUUCGGGGUACACGAGUGGCGAACGGGUGAGUAACACGUGGGUGAUCUGCCCUGCACUUGGGGAUAAGCCUGGGAAACUGGGUAUAAUACCGGAUAGGACCACUGAAUGCAUGGGUGGUGGUGGAAAGCUUUUGCGGUGUGGGAUGGGCCCGCGGCCUAUCAGCUUUUUGGUGGGGUGAUGGCCUACCAAGGCGACGACGGGUAGCCGGCCUGAGAGGGUGACCGGCCACACUGGGACUGAGAUACGGCCCAGACUCCUACGGGAGGCAGCAGUGGGGAAUAUUGCACAAUGGGCGCAAGCCUGAUGCAGCGACGCCGCGUGAGGGAUGACGGCCUUCGGGUUGUAAACCUCUUUCAGCACCGACGAAGCGCAAGUGACGGUAGGUGCAGAAGAAGGACCGGCCAACUACGUGCCAGCAGCCGCCGUAA
rnacentral:rRNA from 1 species